rnacentral:hammerhead_ribozyme from 1 species
AUCCAACUGACGAGUCCAAAAUACGACGAAAUGCGCAUCCUGGAU